rnacentral:rRNA from 1 species
AUCCGUAAGAAUUUAAUUUUGGUUCUGAUUGAACGUUUUUCAGUAGUUUUAAGACAUGCAAAUCAUUAUUAAUAAAAAAUAUUAUUAUAUAAAAUCCAAAUAAAUAAUAUUAAUAAAAAAUAAGGUGUAAGGGUGAGUAUAGGUAGAUUAGAUACCUUAUAGACUCCUUAAAUAGGAGAUUAUUACUUCUUGAUCCACAAAGGAUCCGGUAUGCAAUCUUUGCACAACUCGAAAAAGAUACUUAAAGUAAUAUAAAAUUAAGAAAAGAAAUAUUUUGCCUAACAAACAAAAUAAAAAGAUAAUCUUUUUAAAAAAUUUCAAUAAAUUAACAGUAGUUAACAAUUAAAUUUUAGUAAUUUUAAAUUAGUGCUAAAGCUCCCCUCUCUGUACAAUUGUAACGAGCGGUCAAAGGCUAAAGUUUAAGGACAAGUAAUAUAAUAAUUUAGCAAUUAUAAAAAGGAAAUUUUCCGCUAUAAGAUUUGAUCUAUUCUGUUUAAAGGUAGUUGGUAGAGUAAAAGCCUAUCCAAGCCUACGAUCAGUAGCUAAGUUUGAAAGAACAAAUAGCCACAUAGGUAAUGAAAUUUUCCUAGUAGUGUUUUUACUACCAGCAGUCAAGAAUCUUAGUCAAUGCUCGCAAGAGUGAACUAGCUAACUGAAAUCGCAUAUUUCGUUAAUGGAAAUGUGAUAAAGUAAGGGAAGAAGUCUGACGUUACCUUACUAUAAGUGUUGUCCAAAGCUGGUGCCAGAAGACUCGGUAAGGCCAGAGACGCAAACGUUAAUCGCAAUAACCAGGCGUAAAGGGUUCGUAGGCAGCUUAAAAAUUUUAAUUUAUAUAGCUAUAUGAUUAAUAUAUAUAUUAAUUAUAAUAAUUUUAAAAAUAAUACAAGAUAUAAUCAAAUAGAGGAUAAGUUGAACAAUACUUAGAGUAAGGGUUAAAUCUAUAGAUACUAAGUAGAAUACUCAAGGUGAAAACUUUUUAUCCAUUAUUGAUGGAAGCUGAGGAACGAAGGUUUGAACAGAAAAUAGGAUGUGCGACUUGAUAAGUCUAAUUAUUGUAUUGUAUUCUCAGAAUACAUUAUCUUUCGUCUGAUAAUAGCCAACCUAGACAUGCAAAAAGAUUGAUUUGAAUUUUAUCUUUCCAGAAAUGGUUUUGUGUGAAGCUUUAGGGUAAAGUUAAUUUAAAAGGUAAUCUACCUUGAACAUUUUAAAUUCAAAUGUUUUAUAACGAAGGCUGAUUUCUAAGGUUAGGGAGACCGAACUUAUGUAGUAAAGCUUAUUAAUUAGGCAACUAAUCGUCCUAGUUAGUUGUAGACGAACAAAUAGUUAAUAUUUCAAAGUAAGAACCUAAGGAAAUCUAUCGUACAUAAUUAGAAACAAGUGAACACCUAUAACCUGCAAUUAAUAAAUUUUAAUGUAAUAAAAUUGCUAGCUUAUUCCGUAAGGGUAAGUACAUGGUUAGAGGUAAUAUGAUUUAGAAAAAAGCGAAUGUCUAUUUGUAAUGAAUAGAAUAAGGCUAUGCCUAACCUGAAAGGGUGCCUACUUUCUAAAGGUGCUAUAACAAAUAUAAUAAAUAUUUAAUUAAUAAAACAUCUUUACUUAUUUAAUUUAACCUCUGCGUAGCGCGUAGCAGUAGCGUAGCCAAUUUAAAUUUUAAAACAUUGCCCCCACGAACUUUAGUACGUAGGAGUUAGUUAUAAAAAAGAUUCUCUUUUUUAUUAGGCUACAUAUUCUUUAUUAAUAUAUAUCUUUUCGGCUGCAGUAGCAAGCGUUUAUAAAAGAAAAGAUUAAACCAACUCCAAUUAAACUUGAACAUGCAAUUUCAGCUCCUAUUUAUUUAGCUGCUGCUAACUUAAAAUUUAAGAUAUGUAAUAAUAAAAAUAAAAAAGUUAUAUAGAUAAAUAAAGUUAAAGUUUAAUUUAAUUAAUUAAAACAUAUAUUAUAUAUAUGAAUUUAUAGUGCCGAAUUGUUGCCUGAAAUUCGGCAACAUGAAGAAGGAAUUUCGAGUAAUCGUUGAUCACAAGCGCAACGGUGAAGGUAAAAAAUUCGUGAUGAACUAACUGUCUGUCACUGGGAAGAAGCUCGGGUAGGGGGAAACUGCUUCUUAAUUAAUAACUUUUUCUAAAGAAUAGCUUAAAUUUUAUUAAGUCAAAUUUUAAGUGUUGUUUUAUUGAUAAACUUUUAAAUUUUUAAUUGUUUAUCCUUAUUAGUUGUUUGGUUUUAAACCUUUUAACAAUAUUUUAGUAAGAUUAAACAUCUUUGUUAAGCUUAAUUAGUCUUAGUUAACUCAUCUAAGUAACAUCUCAAAAGUCAUAGCAAGGUAGCUGUACUGGAAAGUGCUGCUGUAAUAUAAAUACA